rnacentral:rRNA from 1 species
UACGUAGGGGGCGAGCGUUAUCCGGAAUUACUGGGCGUAAAGCGCACGCAGGCGGUUCGCCAAGUUUGGAGUGACAGUUGUCGGCUCAACCGACAAAGGACUUCAAAAACUGGUGAACUUGAGGACGAGAGAGGAACAUGGAACUCCAGGUGUAGUAGUGAAAUGCGUAGAUAUCUGGAAGAACACCAAAGGCGAAGGCAGUGUCCUGGGUGGUCGCUGACGCUGAGAGGCGAAAGCCAGGGGAGCGAACGGG